rnacentral:misc_RNA from 1 species
GAUGAAGAACGCAGCGAAAUGCGAUAAGUAAUGUGAAUUGCAGAAUUCAGUGAAUCAUCGAAUCUUUGAACGCACCUUGCGCCCUUUGGCUAUUCUGAAGGGCAUGCCUGUUCGAGUAUCGUGAACACCUCAACUCUCAUGGUCUGCCAUGAUGAGCUUGGACUUUGGGGGUCUUGCUGGCCUACUGUCAGCUCCUCUCAAAUGAAUCAGCUUACCAGUGUUUGGUGGCACCACAGGUGUGAUAACUAUCUACGCUUGUGGUUUUCUGCCAGGUAACCUCCAGUGAUGGAGGUUCGCUGGAGCUCACAAAUGUCUCUCCUCAGCGAGGACAGCUUUUUGAACGUUUGAUCUCAAAUCAGGUAGGACUACCCGCUGAACUUAAGCAUAUCAAUAAGCGGAGGA